rnacentral:rRNA from 1 species
GACGAACGCUGGCGGUGUGCUUAACACAUGCAAGUCGAACGGUAAGGCCCUUCCGGGGGUACACGAGUGGCGAAAGGGAGAGUAAAACGCGAGUAACCUGCCCUCAUAACUGGGAUAACAGCCGGAAACGGUUGCUCAUACUGGAUAUGAGCUUGCCAGGCAUCGUGUGGGUUGGAAAGAUUUUUUUUGGUGGGGGAUGGACUCGCGGCCUAUCAGCUUGUGGGUGAGGUGGUGGUACACCAAGGCUUCGAGGGGUAGCCGGCCACAGAGGGCGUCCGGCCCCAUUUGGGCUGUGAGACGGCCCAAACUCCUACACGAGGCAGCGGUGUGGAAUAUUGUACAAAAGACGAGCGACUGAUGCGGCAAGACCGCGUGCGGGAGAACAGCCUUCGUGUUGUAAACCGCUUUCAAUUGUGACGAGGCGUUUUUGUGACGGUAGCAUUAGAAGAAGCACCGGCCAACUACGUG